UUCGGCCGGGGGCGCCGGUUAGGCGCACGCGCGGACGACGGGAACAGGGAGGCGGGGCAGGCAAAGGAGGAAAGAGGGGUGGGCCUGGGUCGUCGUCGGUCUGGGUCUGGUCGUUGGGUUCGGCGUCGCUUCGCUUCGGAGCAACUGGCGAAGCGGAGCAGAACGGAUGGUGGGAGGGAGGAGCGGAAGGAAGGGGCUUGGGCACGAAGGCGGGCGACGAAGGGGAAGGGGAGGGGGUUGAGGGGAUGCGAGGGGAGGUCUGGAGCGGCGGCCGGGGGAGCGGAGGGAGGGGGCGCGCCGGGCGUCUAGUCUCGUAAAACACCUUCCUGCCUGACGCCCAACGAAAACCAUGGUAGUCGAUUUCCCAGCCAUCUAACUACCGUCAAUAACCCCGGCACCUCCUAGAGAGCGGUCGAGACGAGAAGGAAACUGUAUCGGCAUACAAACUAACACCAAUCUUUCGAGUUAUGUACCUGUCUAUGUCUCUCCUGAAAUUCUCCGACCUACUCAAAUCGGGAUCUAGUAGACAUGUUAGACUUUAACCACCCUCCUCGUCGGACUCCAAGUCGUACGGACCCAAGCCAAUACUAAGCAAAUUAGGUGAUUCUAGUAAGUACAGUCCCGACUCUUUCUCAAGACCUUCUGAGUUUAGUGAAUCCGUGGGGUUAGGUAGACCACGAGGAUUCUGUCGAAAACGUCUUCUAGAAUUUAGAAAAUUCUUCUUAUAUAAACUAGGGGUCGUUUUCAAGGACGACGCUUACUUAUCUAAAAAGAAGGACAGUACAUAAAAGCGACAACGUCAACUAGGUGAGAAGAAGAAGGAUGGGCAGUAGCUGUUGAGUUUAACGUAGCCAUAUCUAUUCUUUAACCGUCACUGUAGUUGUCAUCAUGCCUGAUAAUAACUGAGACAGAUAGAAUAGGCACACAAAGAAGUUAAGGCGUGACGAAUACAACGAGGUAGAAGAGCUCACAAACCUUCACCGCUCGAACACUAACUAGGUUGCGAUUAACGCUACGCAAUGUAAUUUUCAAUGAAGGAUUACCUGAAGAAACGUGACAAUGGUGAAGGUGUCUAACAACAAACCUCUAUAGAGGUGUCAAGACUACCAGGUCUACACGACCGAUGUUUUCUACGUGACCAAACCCAACAGGACACGGUUAUGUAAGGUUCCAACGAUUCCUAUAAGGGACACUGGUUUCUAAACUUUUCCUGUCGACCACAAAAAUAACUCUGACGUACCCGACCACGACCAAUGAUAGAAGAGACCAAAUACGAACGACCGGUAUUACAACCAUGAGACACCAUGAAGAAUAGGUAUCUCGCGUUUCUAUCGACGACCGAACGGUUGACAGUACGGUGUCUACCAACACUUGGGUGGAUGAACAUAACAUCACUCUUAGUACCACCGUCACUCUCCAUGUUUUUAACCUCAUGCUCAUGGGGUUAUAAAUUAGUCACGUUACCGUGACUACUUAGAAAGUUAAAACCAUAGAUAGUCGUUCGUAACCACAGACCUUAUGAACCAGGUCCUUUAAAACAGAGAUUUUCAACAAUAACGAAGACCACCCCUAAUGUUUUAAAUUCAUGGGAACCGGUUCCCAAACAUUGUUCAUGUAUAGGGACCCUCCACAAUAAGAGGUAACGUUAUACGUAGGAACCUGACUAAGAGAAACGCGAGGAGUAGCCAUUGUACGUCUGGAUGGAAGUUAGUCAACGAUAUGCGGAACUUCUCUACUCUCAAUUCUUCGCACUACGACUCGUCACCUACGUAGUGGCUAGUGACGGCGGCCUAUAGUCUCUUGCUCAUUCCGCCAUACUUGCCAUAUCCACCAACCUCUGGUCUCCUCAUCUACUUCUUUUAAACCAAGUUUGGGAAGGUUUUCUGGAAUCCUCCCUGUAGUUUGCGGUAGAGACAAACCCAAAUCACUUUUCCCACGGAAACAAACUCUUAUACCUACUUUCUGAUGAUCUACGUUAUACGCUCGCUAAUUCUGGACGUGAGAUGUGACUUGUACUUAUGUAAAACUCCCUUCCACUAGGUCACCUACUCUACGUUAAAUAAGAGGUACCAAGGAACCUCUCACACUGAUGACUACCUCCGGCUUCACCCAAGAAGUUGUUCCAGGUCGAUUUCCUCCCAAGAAAGACACCGCUGCUCGACGAGUGAACCCGUAACCUGGGGUUCAGACCACGAUUGAAGGGCCAAAGCAGGUCCUGUCACUUCCGAGAAUCGCUCCAGCUCCGUAAGAGGGACGCACGGCUGCUCGACUUUAAGCACCGGUCAGUCAAGUCCUCCGACGUGUCGUCCGUUCAAGUCGUGUGUAAGGCCAAGAUGAGGGUCGUUACCUCCUGGACCCCUCGGACGAAGUAGGUCCGCCGGACCGCGGCGAUGAUGUUCGCCUUCUACCGGCUCGUCGCGGCCUCCCUUCUCCUCCGGCGCUUGGCGGUCUCGUCGUCGUCGUCGCCGGGCUCGGACCCUCGCUGGUAGAUGCGCAGGGCCAAGCGCCGGUUGCGCGAGGCCCCUCAGGUGGCCGAAGCCUCGUUCCGACGACGAGAGGGGUAACACUCUCACGGCUUCGGGAGCCUCGGUCUAAAACCGCAGCUGCGGCUGCUGCGUCUGAUUGCUGUCUGGUAUGACCUUUGAUGGACACGAUUAAUUAAUUCGACUAUGAAGUCCGCACAUCUAACACAUGUUUUAAGUUUUCUGUCGUCGGCGUGUGUUGUAACACUACUACUAACAUUUUCAAAAUGACGAGGUUCCUCAUAUCUUCUACGUUUAACGGUUUUUAGACGUUCUGAAGUAGAUGUAGCUUUAUAACGGC
rnacentral:rRNA from 1 species